CACGUAGGGUGCGAGCGUUGUCCGGAAUUAUUGGGCGUAAAGAGCUCGUAGGCGGUGUGUCGCGUCGGCCGUGAAAACCUGCAGCUUAACUGUGGGCUUGCGGUCGAUACGGGCAUCACUGGAGUUCGGCAGGGGAGACUGGAAUUCCUGGUGUAGCGGUGAAAUGCGCAGAUAUCAGGAAGAACACCAAUGGCGAAGGCAGCUCUCUGGGACGGUACUGACGCUGAGGCGCGACAGCGUGGGGAGCAAACAGG
rnacentral:rRNA from 1 species